GAACGGUGCGGACAUUGGUGAACGCCGGUCAGCAUUGUUGGAAAGCGUGUUGGGGGCAACCCCUCGCGAGUUCGAAUCUCGCAUCGUCCGCCA
rnacentral:tRNA from 1 species